AGAACACAGCUCAGUUGCACAUAACAAGCGAGUACUCGUAAGUGUCCAAUGUCUACAUUAGUACUGCAGCUUAAAAGCACGUUGCGUUCGGAUGAGUAAUUCAUUUAAAUUGAUUCACUCUAACUUGAACACUUGGUACACGUAUGGAGUAAGAUCAUUUUGAAAACACCCGGUUUGCCCACACAAUGUUCAUUCACCUUAAGUUGCGGCUGUUGUGACAGCAACUAAAUUGUCCGUAUUCUUGUAUGAAAUAGUGGGACACUUGUUGUUAUAAGACGACCAAUAUUUACAAAACAAACGUAACUUGUCUUAAACAUGUGUUUCACACAGAAAACUUUCAAAUAAUGUGCCGGACUUGUACGUGUGGGUAUUGUUAUCGACAUAUUUAACUAGUUGAGAUGAUGUCAUUUUACGCGUAAAUAUAAUUUUAUUGCUUGCUUACCCGCAUUGUUAAUCAAAUUUUAAAGUUUAUAGGAAUACGUGUUGCAACUAGGAGAUUUUUAACGGGCAUGUCAUGCUGCUGAUAUAAUCGCGGUGCACGUUCUUGGAAAUGUUUUAGGUUGAAACGUGGGGUUGCUACAUUUUUCGCAAAAAAAAAUAUUUGUGGAAGUGCAGAAAACCCAACCGCAGACUCGUUGUGGUGGCAGUUGUGGAUAGCAUAAUUGGCGCCGAUAAUCUUUUCAGAAAAAAUGAUACGAAAACUAUGUGCAUCCUAGAAUGUUAUUUCUGCAGUUCUCUGUAUUGUUAGCUUUCAUACAUCACGUUACAUUCCAAAUAUAUGACAUAAUAAAGUCAUGCAGAUAGCUUGUAAAGAUAUCCUUCACUGAACACUGGAUUAAUGAACAUAAACGAGUUAGGGGCGGAGAAGAAGAAAAAAAAAGUGUGUGGGACCCGGAUUGUGAGGAUUUUAGACGUCUGAACAAUUUAUGGUUUUGUUGUUUAUAUCUGACAUUGUAUCCUAUCAUCAGUUGUCAACUCAACAAAUUUGGGUUUUCGUAUGUGGCGGGUGAAACCGAGAAGUGAUAUCAACAGGACAAGAUCUUUCCACUCAUUCGGUUGUUAAAAUUUUAUCUACGUUUUAGUCUUGUGAGGGAGGUGAAUGUGGGUAGAAAGUUGGUCUAUUUAGAAACUUGUUCUAUAAAACACAAAAAAAAAUGUUGCGUGAUGAAGAGAUAUUUUAGUUCUCAAAUUUCCUUGGUCUA